rnacentral:rRNA from 1 species
GACGAACGCUGGCGGCGUGCUUAACACAUGCAAGUCGAACGAUGAACCGGGUGCUUGCACUUGGGGAUUAGUGGCGAACGGGUGAGUAACACGUGAGUAACCUGCCCUGGACUCUGGGAUAACCCCGAGAAAUCGGAGCUAAUACCGAAUAGGACCUUCUCCCGCAUGGGGGUUGGUGGAAAGUUUUUCGGUUUGGGAUGGACUCGCGGCCUAUCAGCUUGUUGGUGAGGUAAUGGCUCACCAAGGCGUCGACGGGUAGCCGGCCUGAGAGGGUGACCGGCCACACUGGGACUGAGACACGGCCCAGACUCCUACGGGAGGCAGCAGUGGGGAAUAUUGCACAAUGGGCGCAAGCCUGAUGCAGCAACGCCGCGUGCGGGAUGACGGCCUUCGGGUUGUAAACCGCUUUUAGUAAGGAAGAAGGGGCUUCGGCCUUGACGGUACUUGCAGAAAAAGGACCGGCUAACUACGUGCCAGCCGCCGCUGUAAUAC